rnacentral:lncRNA from 1 species
CUGAUGCCUUAUUUUACACCAAGAAGAAACAAACACUGUGCACCUGCUUCUGUAAUCCUUAUGUAAGUGAAGGAAGUGCUGUGCUUUAGACUUUAUUGUGGUUUCUUUGGCUUCUAUCUGCCCCCAAAGAAAACAAAUACACACACAGCUGUUACAGCACUUGCUUUCUGCUCCAGAAAAGGGUAAGUGUGGAAUAGAAAUAUUGGGUGCCUUCAGACAUUGCCUAAUAACUAAAAAGUGUCAAGCAGCAGGACUCUCCUAGUUCCCAGUAAGGAGGCACUAAUUCAUUAUAAAAGCAACCCUGCACCUGCAGUGAUAGCUGUUUUAUGCUCAUCUGUGUACUGGAGGCUGUCCUUGCAUAACUGUGAGUCUGAGGCUAAGGAAAUAACAUCACCACUGUGAGCCUGGAGAAAGAAUGCACAAUGGUGAUUCCAAAACCAAAGGAGACAGAUUUUCAGUCCCACUGGGAUAGACCAGUUUCCAAGGCUUGGUCCCAUCAAAGCUAGAAGUGCCUUCAGUUCAGCGGUGGAGCAGAUGAUGCUCAAAAGAACAAAUCAGGAAAGAGGAAAGAAUAAAAGGCCAUUUGUGGUACAUCUGAAUCAGCCUGGUGAAUAAGAUUUGGGUUCCUCAAGACAGAGAAGGAGACUGUCCCAACGCGUCCCGCAGCCCACCCUGCCUCGAAACUCCCUGCGGUGAUGUCGGGGCUAGAGGAAUCCAGGGCUUGGUCCCUGCAGCUGAGGCCUACGGGAUAUCCCAGGAAAGAGCAGCCUCUCCGUAGUGGUGAAGAGUCUCUCAAGCCUUAGCGCUCUGGUGACCUCCGCGGGAUUCUGAGAAAAGCACUGCGGAACGGCGGGAGCGGGCCCUGCUGCUUGCUUCGCGCCCCCCACCCGCCCGGGGACCGCGACUAAGUCCCCGACGCAGCUCUUCCCUUUUCCUGAAUACCCUGGGACUCUGCUCCCGAGUUCCAGCUCCGAGGACUCAAAGACAGUCUCCGUUCCUCACUCUUCAAAGACCACCUCCUUUUCUAGAGGUGGGCUCCCCGACCUUGCGCUUCUAGAGCUGCAGGAGCGGCGCUGCACAGGUCUGACAAGCCCAGCUCAUUGGCGGGUAUCUGAGCCAUCAGUCUGAAAGACAUUUGGGGAAAAUUCAUAGAACAUAGAAAUUCAUAUUAUACAUAUUCAUAUUAUACAUUCAUAUUAUACAUUGUGUAUAUUAUAUAAUAUAUAUAUAGUCCAUAAAUUAGUAAAUGUGUGCGGUGUUUUUCUUGAAACCGUUAGCAUCCUAGUUGGUAUUGGUGGUACUGGUUGAUAUUAACACGAAUGACAAGUGGGUGAUUUUCAAGAAGCGCCCGGUCCCUCUAGAGAAUGCGUCCGAAUAUCAGCGGAGCCG